rnacentral:rRNA from 1 species
ACUCAAAGGAAUUGACGGGGGCCCGCACAAGCGGUGGAUUAUGUGGAUUAAUUCGAUGCAACGCGAAAAACCUUACCUGGCCUUGACAUGCCACUAACGAAGCAGAGAUGCAUUAGGUGCCCGAAAGGGAAAGUGGACACAGGUGCUGCAUGGCUGUCGUCAGCUCGUGUCGUGAGAUGUUGGGUUAAGUCCCGCAACGAGCGCAACCCUUGCCAAUAAUUGCCAUCAUUUAGUUGGGCACUUUAUUGGGACUGCCGGUGACAAACCGGAGGAAGGUGGGGAUGACGUCAAGUCCUCAUGGCCCUUAUGGCCAGGGCUUCACACGUAAUACAAUGGUCGGUACAGAGGGUUGCCAACCCGCGAGGGGGAGCCAAUCCCAGAAAGCCGAUCGUAGUCCGGAUUGUUCUCUGCAACUCGAGAGCAUGAAGUCGGAAUCGCUAGUAAUCGCGGAUCAGCAUGUCGCGGUGAAUACGUUCCCGGGCCUUGUACACACCGCCCGU